GUGAGAGAGUUGAGGAGGAGGGUGCUUUCAGAAAUUGGGAGGCUGGAUGACUUGUCUUCUACAAACUCCCCAGGACCAAUAUUCCUAAAGACAUGAGGCUGGUGAUGUAUUUCUAGAAGAAGCAUCGUAAGCAAGUCAUUGUUUUUGCCUGCUUGACCUUGACCAUCCUGAUGCCAGCAAUUACCCUGUUUACUGCUAUCUAAAAAGAAAAAUGCUGCGUGGAAGGUCUUGUCUACUGUUAUUUGAACAUUUGGAGAAGUCAUGGAAGAAAAAUAAAAGUUGAUUAAUGUGAUCAGUAGAGAGCAAAUGGAGAGAGCUUCAAUAGCAAAUUUUUUUCUUAACAUACAGAUCUCUCAUGCUUCCAGACAAGCCCACACUCCAUCUCCACCUCCUCAGCUCACAAGGAAGUUGUUGACUGACAGACUCAGUGUAUGAAGCUGCCCAGCCCUGCCAAAUGCUGGAUUUGGAGCUAGCAGGAGGUACUUUUGGGUGUUCUGUUGGGAUCUCCCUAAUCAUUUUUUCAUAGCUUCUCUGAAUUUGCUCUUGCCAUCUGCCCAGGUCUAUGGUAAAAUGCACACUUGGAAAGGUUGCAGUCAACUCUACUUUUAAGAUCAGCGAGCAUGUGAUAUGCUUCCCCAUCCUCAUUUGCCCCCUUCCUGCUCUCAUUGCCUCCCUGGAAGGCGGUGAGA